CAAACUGGGAUUAGAUACCCCACUAUGCUUAGCCCUAAACACAGAUAAUUUUACAACAAAAUAAUUCGCCAGAGGACUACUAGCAAUAGCUUAAAACUCAAAGGACUUGGCGGUGCUUUGUAUCCCUCUAGAGGAGCCUGUUCUAUAAUCGAUAAACCCCGAUAAACCUCACCACCCUUUGCUAAUUCAGUCUAUAUACCGCCAUCUUCAGCAAACCCUCAAAAGGUAGAAUAGUAAGCACAAUCAUUUUACAUAAAAAAGUUAGGUCAAGGUGUAACCUAUGGGGUGGGAAGAAAUGGGCUACAUUUUCUACCCAAGAACAUUCCACGAAUGUUUUUAUGAAAUUAAAAACUGAAGGAGGAUUUAGUAGUAAAUUAAGAAUAGAGAGCUUAAUUGAAUAGGGCCAUGAAGCACGCACACACCGCUCGUCACCCUC
rnacentral:rRNA from 1 species